AAUGGAGUAGAACGGCUCGUUGGAUCGUGACGUAUGAGGGGUUGUUGGGAAGAAGGUAGCUCAAAAUGUAUAAAUGCGAGUAAUAAAGGGUUUGAGGCUAGGGGAUGGAUUGCCAAAGAGGCCUUAAGUAAAGUGACUAUACCGUCACGGGACCACAAAAAUAAAAUUUCCCUAGAUCUCCUGAAAAACUGUGCACGUGUGCACUUCAUAACAUCUGGUAACAGCGCCUUCCAUAAAAACCUAUUUGUUAGAGCGAGAUAAAAAAACAUUCUUCGCGGAUAGGCACUUCAAGAAGAAGGAAGUCAUAUAUAUACCUUAUCUAUGAAGGAAGUAUUUGAAGAUGUAAGCUUUAAACUGCAGGUGAAACUGAUAGAGAUAAAGUAGCUUAUUUUGUGACUUGAAGAUACUAAUGCAACUUAAAAUGAACAGGUAAUGAAAAUCUCAGAAAAAUGUUGAUGGAGUUUAAACAAACGACAAAUCAAAUAAAUUGAAGAAACAAAGAUUUCAUCUAGUUAUUACCAGUUCAUGCCUGGCAAGUUCUUUAAGAUCUUCAGAGCAUUGUACACGAAUUAACCUCAAAACUAACUUUUUCAAAACACAAUGCAUGACCAUCCUUAUACUGGCCAGAAACAUCUCAACUAAUGACACGCAAAUUGAACAAGUGUGUAUAUAUACCUAUAAAUAUCUGGGCGCGUGAUCAAACAACAGAGUUAAACUGGAGAAUAGGACUGGCAUGGGGGGCUUACGGAAAACUGCGGGUCUUUAAAUCAGAUAUUCCCAUGUGUUUGAAAUGGAAGGUCUUUGAUCAAUGUGUACUGCCAGUUCGAACGUAUGGAACAGAAACAUUGACCCUUACCAGAAAAGUAAUCAAUAAAAUACAAGUGGCACACAGAGCAAUGUAGAGGUCAAUGUUAAAUAUUGUAACAAAAGAUUACUUUUGACCGACCCUAGUAUAACAGGUCCCAUCUCCACACACACAAAGCCACAUCGAUCUUUCUUGAUAAGACGCGAUGCAGCGGGGCGGAACACGAGCAAUUAAGUGAAUGUCGCUACAAUAACUAGAGAUGGGCAGAAUCUUCCAGAAAUAACGGCUGGGCUUUAUAUAGGAACUGAUUUUGUAAAUAAGUUUAGUUUUAAGCUAGAGUCUCUGGCUAAUUGGCUAUGUCAAAGCCAUUAAUAAAUAAAAAAAAAA
rnacentral:lncRNA from 1 species